rnacentral:rRNA from 1 species
UACGGGGGGGAGCAAGCGUUGUUCGGAUUUACUGGGCGUAAAGGGCGCGUAGGCGGCGCAACAAGUCACUUGUGAAAUCUCCGGGCUUAACUCGGAACGGUCAAGUGAUACUGUUGUGCUAGAGUGCGGAAGGGGCAACUGGAAUUCUCGGUGUAGCGGUGAAAUGCGUAGAUAUCGAGAGGAACACCUGCGGCGAAGGCGGGUUGCUGGGGCCGACACUGACGUGAUGCGCGAAAAGCCAGGGGGAGCGAAACGGGG